rnacentral:tRNA from 1 species
AGGAUUUUAGUUAAUUUAUAACAUUUAAAUUGCAUUUAAAAAUUAUAUCUAUUAUAUUUAAUAUA